rnacentral:rRNA from 1 species
UACGUAGGUGACCAGCGUUGUCCGGAUUUACUGGGCGUAAAGAGCGCGCAGGCGGUCGUUCAAGUCGAGUGUGAAAGCCCCCGGCUCAACUGGGGAGGGUCAUUCGAUACUGAUCGACUGGAAGGCAGGAGAGGGAAGCGGAAUUCCCGGUGUAGUGGUGAAAUGCGUAGAUAUCGGGAGGAACACCAGUGGCGAAGGCGGCUUGCCU